rnacentral:rRNA from 1 species
AUUGAACGCUGGCGGCAGGCCUAACACAUGCAAGUCGAACGAGAGGCGGACGGGUGAGGAAUGUCUGGGGAACUGCCAGAUGGAGGGGGAUAACUACUGGAAACGGUGGCUAAUACCGCAUACCAUCAGAUGGACCCAUAUGGGAUUAGCUUGUAGGUGGGGUAACGGCUCACCAAGGCGACGAUCCCUAGCUGGUCUGAGAUGAGGAUCAUCCACGCUGGGACUGAGACAUGGUCCAGACUCCUCCGGGAGGCAGCAGUGGGAAAUAUUGCACAAUGGGCGCAAGCCUGAUGCAGCCAUGCCGCGUGCAUUAAGAAGGCCUUAGGGUUGUAAAUUACUUUCAGCGGGGAGGCGUUACCCGCAGAAGAAGCACCGGCUAACUCCGUGCCAGCAGCCGCGGUAAUAC